CAGUAGCCGCGGUAAUACAGAGGGUGCGAGCGUUAAUCGGAAUUACUGGGCGUAAAGCGCGCGUAGACGGUUUGGUAAGUCAGAUGUGAAACCCCUGGGCUCAACCUGGGAACUGCAUUUGAUACUGCCUGGCUAGAGUAUCGAAGAGGGAAGUGGAAUUUCCGGUGUAGCGGUGAAAUGCGUAGACAUCGGAAGGAACACCAGUGGCGAAAGCGACUUCCUGGUCGAAUACUGACGUUCAUGUGCGAAAGCGUGGGGAGCAAACAGGAUUAGAUACCCCUGUAGUCCCUGUCUCUUAUAC
rnacentral:rRNA from 1 species